UCUCCGUUGGUGAACCAGCGGAGGGAUCAUUACAGAGUUUAUUAUAACUCCUAAACCCAUGUGAACCUACCUUCUGUUGCCUCGGCAGGCAAGUCGUAUCUUGCUACCCUAUAGGACCCUAUCUUGUAAGACGUUACCUUAUAAGGUCCUAUCCGGUAGAGAGAUGCGGUACUACCUGCCGGUGGACUGAAAGAAAAAUUCUGUUUAAUAAAUGGUAUUCUGAAUCAUUAUAUGGAAAUUAAGUUAAAACUUUCAACAAUGGAUCUCUUGGUUCUG
rnacentral:misc_RNA from 1 species